CCCUCCUGCCUUGGCCUCCCAGAGUGUUGGGAUUACAGGCAUGCGCCAUUGCACCCAGCCCUAUCUUGCAUCUUGAGUGGACUUUUUACCCAGGUCUCAUAGCGUUACACCAUGCCAUUAGUCAUUUGGGCAACAUGGUUUCCCGAAUUGUGCAGAUCUUCCAAAUGUGGGCACAUUUUGUGUGACAAUAGUUUUUAAAAUCUGCAUUUGUGAUCUCUCAGGGAGGUCUGAGAGCAUCAGGACUGUCAGGCUUACCGUGGCAAGUGCAAGUUUUUCAAAAUUCUGACUUUUGCUUAAAGUCUCAGAUGGCAUCAUUGGCAGCAAAUACUCGUGUUGUUGUCUUUGAAGUUACAAGCUUAUUCAUUUUGAAGCAAAUGUCUACUAAAUAGCCAACACUGAAUGACUAGCUUCCCCAGCGCCCUUUCAAGUGAAAAAGGCGUUCUGGGAAAACAGCAGCUACUUGAGCUCACAGCAUGGAGUACGGCCCAUGUGCUUUCCUGAGCCAGCUGUCAUUCUGCAGCAGAGACACAGAGGAUGUCAAGAACACCAGUACUCUAGCAUGGAAAUAACUCAAAUGUCCUUCAGCUCAAGAGCGGUUAAACAAACUGGCACAUCUGAUUCCUCCUCAGCAGUGAAACAAGGGACUGUUGACACAUGCAGUGCCGUGGUUGGAUCUCAAGGGAAAACACCAAUCCUAUAAAGUGGUGUACUGUGUGAUUUCAUUUCUAAAUGACAUCCCCAAAACGCCAGCCUCAGAAGGAGAAGUGGUGCACGGGCCAGCGGGAGGCUGCAGGCGACCAUCCUUUGUGGUGAUGAGAAUUCUGGGCCAGAUACACAUGACAGAUGCCACAGAAUUAGACCCAAAGAGUGCCUGUAAAAGCUGCCGAAAUCCAGUGAGGUCGGCCGCCUGGUUCACUCUGCGCCGAAAUCCAGUGAGGUCGGCCGCCUGGUUCACUCGGCGCCGAAAUCCAGUGAGGUCGGCCACCUGGUUCACUCGGCGCCGAAAUCCAGUAAGCUUCGCGGCCUGGUUCACUGGGCGCCGAAAUCCAGUAAGCUUCGCGGCCUGGUUCACUGGGCGCCGAAAUCCAGUGAGCUUCGUGGCCUGGUUCACUCUGCGCUGAAAUCCAGUGAGCUCGGUGGCCUGGUUCACUGUGUGGCACCAGUGUCAGCUUCCUGUGUUAUGUGAGAUAGCACAGUUGGGUGAAGCUGGUGAUGAAGGUGUGUGACCUCUCUACUAUUUUUGCGACUUCUUAUGAGUCUAUAAACAUUUGUCAAUUGGAAAAAAGUGUGCUCAGGAGCUGAAUUGAAUAAAAUUAGCAAUUUUCAUUGUGU